UCUGUAGCAAGGUUAACCGUAUAGGGGAGCCGAAGGGAAACCGAGUCUUAACCGGGCGUUAAGUUGCAGGGUAUAGACCCGAAACCCGGUGAUCUAGCCAUGGGCAGGUUGAAGGUUGGGUAACACUAACUGGAGGACCGAACCGACUAAUGUUGAAAAAUUAGCGGAUGACCUGUGGCUGGGGGUGAAAGGCCAAUCAAACCGGGAGAUAGCUGGUUCUCCCCGAAAGCUAUUUAGGUAGCGCCUCGUGAAUUCAUCUCCGGGGGUAGAGCACUGUUUCGGCUAGGGGGCCAUCCCGGCUUACCAACCCGAUGCAAACUGCGAAUACCGGAGAAUGUUAUCACGGGAGACACACGGCGGGUGCUAACGUCCGUCGUGAAGAGGGAAACAACCCAGACCGCCAGCUAAGGUCCCAAAGUCAUGGUUAAGUGGGAAACGAUGUGGGAAGGCCCAGACAGCCAGGAUGUUGGCUUAGAAGCAGCCAUCAUUUAAAGAAAGCGUAAUAGCUCACUGGUCGAGUCGGCCUGCGCGGAAGAUGUAACGGGGCUAAACCAU
rnacentral:rRNA from 1 species